AGGGCGCCCGCAAGAAAAAAUAAAAAAGAAAUGACGGACGCCCGCACAAGCGGUGGAGCAUGUAUUUUAAUUGGAAAAAACGAGAAGGACCUUACCAACUCUUGACAUCCCGCAGAACGCUAUAGAGCCAGAGCUUCCCUUCGGGGCAGCGGUGACAGGUGGUGCAUGGUUGUCGUCAGCUCGUGUCGUGAGAUGUUGGGUUAAGUCCCGCAACGAGCGCAACCCUUAUCUUUAGUUGCCAGCAUUCAGUUGGGCACUCUAGAGAGACUGCCGUCGACAAGACGGAGGAAGGCGGGGAUGACGUCAAAUCAUCAUGCCCCUUAUGACCUGGGCUACACACGUGCUACAAUGGUUGGUACAACGGGAUGCUACCUCGCGAGGGGACGCCAAUCUCUUAAAACCAAUCUCAGUUCGGAUUGUAGGCUGCAACUCGCCUACAUGAAGUCGGAAUCGCUAGUAAUCGCGGAUCAGCAUGCCGCGGUGAAUACGUUCCCGGGCCUUGUACACACCGCCCGUCACACCACGGGAGUUUGCAACACCCGAAGUCGGUGAGGUAACCGCAAGGAGCCAGCCGCCGAAGGUUGGGUUGAAAGGUGUG
rnacentral:rRNA from 1 species